CCGAAAUCGAAAAGCCCAAUCUUCAAACAGAAACAUUAUUAGAGAUCUUCCAGAAACAAAACAUGCAUGAGAGAGAAGGCACAUACUUUGUCAUAAAACAAUUUGAUGGAACGCAAAAAACCACAGAUUGGAGUAUGAAAUAUUCAUAUUUCACAUAUGCAUCCCUUCCAUACUCUAAUAUGAGUAUGAAACCGAAUACGAAAUCCAAACUGAUGAAAAAAGGAUCAAGAAUUUGAAGAAAUAUUUGGGAAAAACAGCAUCAGAAUGGUACCAGACAAAUCUGCUGAAGGAUGAAGAAUACAACUGGGAAAAUUGGAAGGUUCAUUCACUGAAUAUGCCAUAAAAAAGGAAUGAUUAAUAUUGGAAGUAAGGAGGAAGACUUCUGAAGAGACAGGGAUAAAUCUAAUUGUUAUUGGGUUACCCAUACACAUUCAAGAUAAAAUCAAUAAGAAACAGUACAAUCAACAAAUGGCUUAAUAGGAUUCUUGGGGCAAUAUCAGA